GACGAACGCUGGCGGCGUGCCUAAUACAUGCAAGUAGGACGCAGUUGCGAACGGGUGAGUAAAGCGUAGGUAUCUUCCUAUUAGAGGGGGAUAACUAAUGGAAACGAUAGCUAAUACCGCAUACUCGUAGAUGGACCUGCGUUGUAUUAGUUAGUAGGUUGGGUAAUGGCCUACCUAGGCAACGCUACAUAGCCUAACUGGGAGGGUGGUCGGCCCAACUGGGACCGUGACACGGCCCAGACUCCUACGGGAGGCAGCAGUAGGGAAUCUUAGGCAAUGGGGGGAACCCUGACCGAGCAACGCCGCGUGAGUGAAGAAAGUUUUCGGAUCGUAAAGCUCGGUUGUUAAGGAAGCGGUACUUAACCAGAAAGGGACGGCUAACUACGUGCCAGCAGCCGCGGUAAUUC
rnacentral:rRNA from 1 species